UACGUAGGGUGCGAGCGUUGUCCGGAAUUACUGGGCGUAAAGAGCUCGUAGGUGGUUUGUCGCGUUGUUCGUGAAAACUCACAGCUCAACUGUGGGCGUGCGGGCGAUACGGGCAGACUGGAGUACUGCAGGGGAGACUGGAAUUCCUGGUGUAGCGGUGAAAUGCGCAGAUAUCAGGAGGAACACCCGUGGCGAAAGCGGCUCUCUGGGACGGUACUGACGCUGAGACGCGAAAGCGUGGGGAGCAAACAGG
rnacentral:rRNA from 1 species